UCGGAGAGAGGCGGAUUGACAAGAAUGAGGGUUGAGUUUUCGCCAGGAUGAAGAAAUAGAGGAUGGGCAGGAUUAGUAAGAUGAUCGGUGGUGGAGGAGGAGGCAACGGUGGUGGUGGCUGGGGCGGAGGAAGCCAUGAGAAAGGGAUCAGACAGAAGAUGAAGAAAAGAGGGCAAACGACGAACCCUAAUUAUUUUCUUUCUUUUGAUACCAUGUAAGAAUUGUGAGAAGAGAGAAACAAGAACCCUAGAGAAAACAAAACUAUGAAUGAAUAUUAUUGAGAAAGUGAGUUUAGUACAACGGAAGCAAGGAAUAUAAAC
rnacentral:lncRNA from 1 species